AGAGCGAACGCUGGCGGCAGGCUUAACACAUGCAAGUCGAGCGGGCGUAGCAAUGCGUCAGCGGCAGACGGGUGAGUAACGCGUGGGAACGUACCUUUUGGUUCGGAACAACCCAGGGAAACUUGGGCUAAUACCGGAUAAGCCCUUACGGGGAAAGAUUUAUCGCCGAAAGAUCGGCCCGCGUCUGAUUAGCUAGUUGGUGAGGUAAUGGCUCACCAAGGCGACGAUCAGUAGCUGGUCUGAGAGGAUGAUCAGCCACAUUGGGACUGAGACACGGCCCAAACUCCUACGGGAGGCAGCAGUGGGAAUAUUGGACAAUGGGCGCAAGCCUGAUCCAGCCAUGCCGCGUGAGUGAUGAAGGCCCUAGGUUGUAAAGCUCUUUUGUGCGGGAAGAUAAUGACGGUACCGCAAGAAUAAGCCCGGCUAACUCGUGCCAGCAGCCGC
rnacentral:rRNA from 1 species